GGACUGAGCUACAAUGGUAGAGCAUCUGCUUUGCAAGCAGACAGCCCCAGGUUCAAUGCUGGCAUCUCCA